rnacentral:rRNA from 1 species
GACGAACGCUGGCGGCGUGCCUAAUACAUGCAAGUCGAGCGGACCUCUUCGGCGGUCAGCGGCGGACGGGUGAGUAACACGUGGGCAACCUGCCUGUAAGACUGGGAUAACACCGGGAAACCGGUGCUAAUACCGGAUAAUCCUUUUCCUCACAUGAGGGGAAGCUGAAAGACGGUUUCGGCUGUCACUUACAGAUGGGCCCGCGGCGCAUUAGCUAGUUGGUGGGGUAACGGCCCACCAAGGCGACGAUGCGUAGCCGACCUGAGAGGGUGGUCGGCCACACUGGGACUGAGACGCGGCCCAGACUCCUCCGGGAGGCAGCAGUAGGGAAUCUUCCGCAAUGGACGAAAGUCUGACGGAGCAACGCCGCGUGAGCGAAGAAGGCCUUCGGGUCGUAAAGCUCUGUUGUCAGGGAAGAACACGUACCGGAGUAACUGCCGGUACCUUGACGGUACCUGACCAGAAAGCCACGGCUAACUACGUGCCAGCAGCCGCCGUAACAC